CCUACGGGUGGCAGCAGUGGGGAAUAUUGGACAAUGGGCGAAAGCCUGAUCCAGCCAUGCCGCGUGUGUGAAGAAGGCCUUCGGGUUGUAAAGCACUUUCAGUGGGGAAGAAAGCCUUGGGGCUAAUACCCUCGAGGAAGGACAUCACCCACAGAAGAAGCACCGGCUAACUCCGUGCCAGCAGCCGCGGUAAUACGGAGGGUGCGAGCGUUAAUCGGAAUUACUGGGCGUAAAGCGCGCGUAGGCGGUCUGAUAAGCCGGUUGUGAAAGCCCCGGGCUCAACCUGGGAACGGCAUCCGGAACUGUCAGGCUAGAGUGCAGGAGAGGAAGGUAGAAUUCCCGGUGUAGCGGUGAAAUGCGUAGAGAUCGGGAGGAAUACCAGUGGCGAAGGCGGCCUUCUGGACUGACACUGACGCUGAGGUGCGAAAGCGUGGGUAGCAAACAGGAUUAGCUACCCGUGUAGUC
rnacentral:rRNA from 1 species